CAGUACUUGUCCCCAGAGGGAAGGUGUCUCAUCUCAAAUCUACAUAUGUGGCAAGGAUUCCCAAAAGAUACCAAUUAGGAGACAGCUGCAGCAAUUACUGUGUGACACAUGCCAACUCUUCAACAGUCACGUGUGUGUUCUCAUCCAAAUAAGCACCAAAACUACUCCAAGGAGGGUGGCUAAUAAUUUGAUAUUCCACAAGCACAGAUGGACAUCACAAAACUUCAUUAACGCUUUGUAAUAAUAAUCUAUAAUUUAAUGAUUUAUACAAGAAUUAGCUGGAAAAUCCUUUGCAAUCGGCAAUUUGUCUCUCUCUUGCUUUUACGCAAAGUUCAACAAGCCAAUCUAGAAGUGAAGAAACUGGAGAAAAUUUAACCAGAUUUCAGUAAAAAAAAUCACAGCUUCCAUGUCAAAUGCAGCAAAUUGAUAUUCACCACCUGUUUUGGUUCAGAAAUUCUCUGAAGCACCUCCAGUCAACACAAAGAAUGCAAGCACUUCAACCUGAUCUAUGUACUGGAACGGAGUUUGAUUUGUACAUUUCAUCAAACUGCCAGUUACAUCUAAACAAAAAAAAAAGUGCCAGAGAACAAGUUUCAACUACUAAAGGGUUCUAUUACAUAGUUGCGCUUUGAUCAAAUAUUAUAUGCUGAACGUAGCCAC